rnacentral:rRNA from 2 species
AGUACGUGAAACUGCUUAGAGGUUAAGCCUGAUGAACCUGAAUAUCCAUUAAUGGAAAAUUCAUCACUAAUAUUAUAAUAUAUAAUAUAUUAUGAGAAUGGUGUGCAUUUUUUCCAUAAAGGACAUUGUAAUCGGUUAAUAAAUUAAAAGUUUAUCAUAAGAUUCAUAAUAAGAGUUUAUUCUAAUUAAAUUUUUUUAAAGUUUAAAAUUGAAUAAAUUUUAUGAAUUUGAUAAAUUGUUGACCGAUUUAAUUAUAAUAAUGUUUUAAAUUUCUUUUGAAAUUUUACAAUAGUUAUUUAUAUAUUCUCUGAUUAUAUAUUUAAUUUUUUGUAUACAUUUUUGUGAUUUACAAUGCUAUAAAUUCAGGAUACCUUCGGGACCCGUCUUGAAACACGGACCAAGGAGUCUAACAUAUGUGCAAGUCGUUGAGUAUUUUAUAUAAAACUCAAAGGCAUAAUUAACUUGACUGUAUUUUAUAAUGGGAUUAGUUUAUAUAUAUAUUUUUGUAAUAUAGAAUAUAUUUUAAAUUCAAUCCCAGGGCGUUCUAUAUAGUUAUGCAUUUUUAAUGUCUAUAACUG